rnacentral:rRNA from 1 species
GAUGAACGCUAGCGGCAGGCCUAAUACAUGCAAGUCGAGGGGCAGCGGGGUGUAGCAAUACACUGCCGGCGACCGGCAAACGGGUGCGGAACACGUACAGAACCUUCCUUCGAGCGGGGAAUAGCCCAGAGAAAUUUGGAUUAAUACCCCAUAGUAUAUUGGAGUGGCAUCACUUUGAUAUUAAAGAUUUAUCACUUGAAGAUGGCUGUGCGUCUGAUUAGGUAGUUGGUGGGGCUAACGGCCCACCAAGCCAACGAUCAGUAACUGGUGUGAGAGCACGACCAGUCACACGGGCACUGAGACACGGGCCCGACUCCUACGGGAGGCAGCAGUAAGGAAUAUUGGUCAAUGGACGCAAGUCUGAACCAGCCAUGCCGCGUGGAGGAUGAAGGGUCCUCUGGAUUGUAAACUUCUUUUUAUCUGGGGACGAAAAAAUGGGAAUUCUUUCUCGUCUGACGGUACCAGAUGAAUAAGCACCGGCUAACUCCGUGCCAGCAGCCGCGGUAAUACGGAGGGCUGCAAGCGUUAUCCGGAUUCACUGGGUUUCAAAGGGUGCGUAGGCGGGUGUGUAAGUCCGUGGUGAAAUCUCCGAGCUUAACUCGGAAACUGCCAUGGGUACUGCAUGUCUUGAAUGUUGUGGAGGUGAGCGGAAUAUGUCAUGUAGCGGUGAAAUGCUUAGAUAUGACAUAGAACACCAAUUGCGAAGGCAGCUCACUACACAAAUAUUGACGCUGAGGCACGAAAA